CCUGGAGAGCCACCACCACCUCCUGCUUCCGAGCAUCAUUUGCAGCUCAGGAGAGCUCGUUGAGAAGCUGGGCGUGUUAAUAAGGCAGAGCACGCAGGCGUUUGCAAUUCACCAGAUCAUUCACAAGUUACCUCCAACCCAACCUUGUCAUUGCAAUUCGUCACACUUACAGUGGAUGCUUUUAUGUGCUGCAUCUCGCCCGAGUCUCAUCACGCCAGGCCAGUGCCACAGGCUACGAGACAACAACAAAGAUCUCAAGCGUGGUUUAAAAGGUAGCACUAUAAAAGAGGGGGAAUAAUGGCUGCAAUCACUGCUAGAUGUCCUGUUCCCACAGAUCCUGCAGCCUUCCCUUGAUUUCAGACCAAAGCUGAGUAGUAGGAACGACUGCCUUCCCCACUGCCACCUUAAACCUGAUUUAUCCGGCACCCUCAGCGUGGAGAAGCCCUGGCAUGGUAUUU